rnacentral:rRNA from 1 species
UACAGAGGUCUCAAGCGUUGUUCGGAUUCACUGGGCGUAAAGGGCGCGUAGGCUGCGGGGCAAGUCGGGUGUGAAAUCUCAGAGCUCAACUCUGAAACUGCACUCGAUACUGCUUUGCUUGAGGACUGGAGAGGAGAUUGGAAUUCACGGUGUAGCAGUGAAAUGCGUAGAUAUCGUGAGGAAGACCAGUGGCGAAGGCGGAUCUCUGGACAGUUCCUGACGCUGAGGCACGAAGGUCAGGGGAGCAAACGGG